CCUACGGGAGGCUGCAGUGAGGAAUAUUGGUCAAUGGACGAGAGUCUGAACCAGCCAAGCAGCGUGAAGGAUGACUGCCCUAUGGGUUGUAAACUUCUUUUAUAUGGGAAUAAAAUGUUACACGUGUGGGAUGUUGUAUGUACCAUAUGAAUAAGGAUCGGCUAACUCCGUGCCAGCAGCCGCGGUAAUACGGAGGAUCCGAGCGUUAUCCGGAUUUAUUGGGUUGAAAGGGAGCGUAGGUGGAUUGUUAAGUCAGUGGUGAAAGUUUGCGGCUCAACCGUAAAAUUGCAGUUGAAACUGGCAGUCUUGAGUACAGUAGCGGUGGGCGUAAUUCGUGGUGUAGCGGU
rnacentral:rRNA from 1 species